GCUAAUUUAACAAAACUGAUUUUCUACAACCAGAAGUCCAAGAGUCAUCUGAUAGCGGAAGCCUGCAGCUGAGGUUCCUCCAUGCUGCUAUAACCUCCCACUCCAUGCUUCCACUAGUGUGUUCCAAAGUGUCUUGUUUUGCAACUUUCUUUAUUCUAUUACUAUGAAACUUCAUGAAACUGCUUCCAUGUUGGGGCCUGGGAUUUGAGGUAACCUAAAUCUGUUUCUGGGCCACGGUCAUUUAUAUUUGGUCCCAGCAUAAACUCUCUUGACCCAUUGACAUGUGCAACUCUCCAGAGCUCCAGGCUCCUGGAUCCGAUUGCUUGGGAUCCCGUUUGAAUGCGCAGUGAGCAUGGCACAUCAAACGUUCUGUCCCUCGAUAGUCUCCGCCCAGCAAUUGACAACCGUGCCUUCACUCCAGCUGCUCAAGCCAAAAUCCUCAAUGUCACUCUUGUCAUGGUCUCCCCUACUCUAAACUUACAAACAACCCUUCUGGUGCCAUCUGGGGGUCUUGGCUGGGUGUUUUCUCACCAGCUAAAGAAAUAAAAGAGAAAAAAAUCCAAGACACAAAAAGGUAAAAAAAACAGAACAACAACAACCACAACACACACACAUACACACACACACACACACACACACACACACACACGAGCAUUGGAAAAGGAAGUGGUGGACCCACCCAUCCCCCAGUUAAAGUCAGUGAGAAAGCAGGCCCCGGAGACAGCUACUGAAAAGCACACAGAAAGAAAGACUCUCCACAAGGUGGAAAGGGGAUUCAGAAACCAAAAUCCAUUUUCCUCACGUGGGGCUAUCAGCGCCCUGUUCUCUAUCAUUUUCCUCAUGGGGGGGGGGGCUUUUGGGUUCCCCAGGUUGAGUUCUCACUCUCCUCAUUUCAUACUGGCUAAUGUCCUGUUUGGUGUUAUACUACCUUGACCCAGCUAGAGUCAUUUGGGAAGAGGAACUCUCAGUUGAGAAACAACCCCUUUCAUCCCCUUAUGUUCUUCCUGUAGGCAUAUCUGUAGGGCAUUUUUUUUUUUCAAUUAACAGUUGUUGUCAGUGGGCCCAGCUCAGUGUAGGUGGUGUCAGCCUAGGCAGGUGAUUCUGGGGUAUUUAAGAGCACAAGCUGAGUGAGCCCUGGGGAGGAAGGCAGUGAGCAGCUCUUCUUGACUUCUCCAUCAGAUCCUGAUUCUAGGUUUCUGCCCGGCUUGAGUUCCUACCAUGGCUUUCUUCAGGAAUGGACUCUUACCUGGAAGUGUAAGAUGAAAUAAACCCUUUCCUCCCCAAGUUGCUUUGGUGAUGGUGUUUCAUUCCAGCAAUAGAAACUCUAACGGAGACAGUUUAGACAGAACAGGGAGCGGACAGACCCGCAGCUCUAGGUAAACAUGCUCAGGAUUGGCCUUGAACAUAUCUAAGCAGCCUGGACGGGUCAGCCAGAGGGAGGUUCCUGCUGCCUGAAGAAAGUUCCACCUGGCCUCUGUCUCAGGUCAGAAAGGUGAGAAAGAGGCUGGGAGUCUGCCAACUUUUUUAUUUAUCUGUGACCCCUUUCCCUAACUGCCUGCCUGGCAGGGAUCUCUCCAGCUCCCCAUCCCUCACUUUCACAGAUUGUUCUGGGCCUGUCUUCACAGUGUGUGUUCAGAACAAAGCCCCUUUCCUGCAAUCUCCACAGAGCCUCAAGUGUCAGUGUCAUCGUCCCCCUCCCCGCCCCUGCGACUGCAUUUGCUUCCUGACAAAUGUCCUUUCGGAGCUCAGUGUCACCCUCUGAAAACCAAAUUAGAUCAUGCCUUUCAUGGGUCCAAAGCCUCCCAAAGUCUUCCCAUCUCAAAACAAAAGCCAAUGACCUGACUGUGGCACAUGAGGUCUGACACGGUUUGUCAGGUUCUUGGUUGUAUUUGCAGGGCUAAGAACCAUGCUCAGCAGGCAGGAGGUUCUCAGUACACAUUUGUUGCAUCAACAAACUGGUAAGAUGCUUCUCUGCUUACUUCAAUAUUUCCCUUAUUCUCUUCUAGCCACAGUCCUACAAAGCAGGGCUCACUGUAUCUGCCUUGGCCAAUAGGUAAAUGAAGGCCAGACAGUUGCUUCAGGAGUUCCUGUCUCUGGCUGAAGAGUUCUGGCCAGCAGAGGGAGCUGUUUCUGCAGAUGCCAGAGCCCUGAGCUUAAUGAUGUUUGAUCUGCAUAAUGGUCAACAACUCAAUAAGCCAGACACUAUAUGAACUUUAUCAAAGCUGGAAUGAAUUAAUGCACAGCGUUGUUCUCAUUAGCUUUUUAAAAAAAGAUGUAUUUAUUUUUAUUUAUAUGAGUACUCUGUAGCUGUCUUCAGACGUACCAGAACAUGGUAUCAGAGCCCAUUACAGAUGGUUGUGAACCACCAUGUGAAUGCUGGGAAUUGAACUCAGGACCUCUGGAAGAGCAGUCACUGUUCUUAACCCCUGACCCACCUCUCCAGCCCAUCUCAUUAGCUUUAAUUGUCAAGUUGACACAGCUUAAAAUCAUCUGAGAUGGGCAUGUCUGUGGGGAAUUUUCUUAUUAGGUGAUAUAGAAGGACCCAGACUGCUGUAAGUAGCACCAUUCCUUGGGUAAUAGUCUUGAACUACAUAAGAAAGCUAGCUAAGAAGAGGCCUGUGAGAAAGCCAGCAAACAGCACUCCUCCAUGAUUUCUGCUUCAAGUUCCUGCCCUGUCUUCCCCUCAGUGAUGGACCUGAUGGCUGAAAUAAAUCAUUGUUCCCC
rnacentral:lncRNA from 1 species